rnacentral:rRNA from 1 species
AGAACGAACGCUGGCGGCAUGCCUAAUACAUGCAAGUCGAACGAACACUUCGGUGUUAGUGGCGCACGGGUGCGUAACGCGUGGGAAUCUGCCCUUGGGUUCGGAAUAACAGUUGGAAACGACUGCUAAUACCGGAUGAUAUCGAAAGAUCAAAGAUUUAUCGCCCAGGGAUGAGCCCGCGUAGGAUUAGCUAGUUGGUGAGGUAAAGGCUCACCAAGGCGACGAUCCUUAGCUGGUCUGAGAGGAUGAUCAGCCACACGUGGGACUGAGACACGGCCCAGACUCCGUACGGGAGCAGCAGGUAGGGAAUAUUGGACAAGUGGGCGCAAGCCUGAUCCGAGCAAUGCCGCGUGAGUGAGUGAAGGUCCGUUUAAGGGUUGUAAAGUCCUUAC